AUGCACAUUUCAUUGACUUGCUUUCAGAAUAGUGAUGAGCAGUGUUAUUUCUGAUGUGCUAAAAAAACUAUUGGAGGUUAAUUAGCAACAUGACUAUAUGUAGUUAUUGCUGCCAGUCCCCUUCAGACAAAU
ensembl:snoRNA